UAAUUAAUUUGAACUUAUAGUAAGUACACUUUCAUUAUAAUAUUUAUAAACACAAUUAAGUGCACUUUUAAAAUGCACUUUGUAAUAAUAUCUAAUUAAUUUGAACUUACAGUAAGUACACUUUCAUCAUAAUAUUUCACUAACACACUUAAGGACACUUUUUAAAAAUGCACUUUGUAAUAAUAUCUAAUUAAUUUGAACUUAUAGUAAGUACACUUUCAUCACAAUAUUUCUCUAACACACUUAAGGACACUUUUUAAAAAUGCACUUUGUAAUAAUAUCUAAAUAAUUUUAAAUUAUAGUAAGUACACUUUCAUCAUAAUAUUUAUAAACACACUUAAGUGCACUUUUAAAAAUGCACUUUGUAUUAAUGUCUAAUUAAGCUUAACUUAAAGAAAGUACACUUUCAACAUAAUAUUUAUAAACACACUUAAGUGCACUUUUAAAAAUGCACUUUUCAAUAAUGUCUAAUUAAGCUUAACUUAUAGUAAGUACACUUUCAUCACAAUAUUUCUUAACAUACUUAAGUACACUUUUUAAAAAUGCACUUUGUCUAAUUUAGUUUUACUUAAAUGUAACCCUGGUUAAAUAAUUAAAUAUUAUUAUUUUAAAAGUGUGCUUAAAAAUAAUAGAGACUAUUCAUACAUCUACAUUUAUUUUAUAAAUGAGGAAAUACAUGUGAAUAAUUCAAUCUGAAUUAUAAAUCUGAAAUGAGUAAACCAAUCGGAGUGUUUAAUUGUAAGCUCCGCCCCUUUUUUGCUUUCGGAUCGCGUCUCAGUUCAGAGGAGAGAUGCAGAGCGACAGAGACACGCUAUCUAACGCGAGAGUGUUUAAUUUGAUUAAAUAUGACUCUUAAGUUCAUAUAAACUGAAGAAAUCAGAAUUUAACUUGCAUAUAUUCAAUGAUACAGCGUGAUUGUGUGGAUUGAGCACUUUUUGAGCUUUCAUUUUGACCUGUGUGAUUAUGUAAAACCACAUGGUGCGUUGUGUUCACUGCUGUUCGCUGACGCCAUUUUGGUUGCACAUGCCUGUGAAAGACAAAAAGAGAGAGAAACACGUGAAUGGACAGGUAUUUGUCUAAAUUGUCAUUUAUUAUGAUGAUGGCACUUAUGUAUGUAUUUUAUUUGUUUCCUGUAUUGUGUACAAUUGUUCAUCAUUAUUGAUACACAAUAUUGAAUGUUUUUUCCUUUCGUAUGAACAUUCCUUGAGCUGGAUUUUCCUAAUUGAUGGCGAGCCUCCCAUUUCGACCUGAUUGGAUCACGAAUCUAGAGGAAAGGACAAAUUUCUAUUUUAAAUAUUUUUCUUCAGACAAGUAAGAGGAUACAUUUCAGAAACUGUUUCCUUAUUUUGUUUGUUUACUUCGUUGAACUGAAACAAUUCAGAAGCACAAAUCUGAUAAUUUAAGACUGAUCAAUACUCCAAUUGAUAAGAACUUUGAACUUGAAUACGGAUUUCAGUGUGUUACAUAUAUAAUUUGUACCAUCUUUGUACAUUGAUUGUGACUGUGAUUUCUGUAAAUGAGAAGUAAUUUAGAGGGUGCACCCAUAGUAUAUAUAGUUAAUUGUAUUUUCAUUGUUGUUUACUAUUUUUUUGUGAUUAAGGAAAGAAAAAGAAAGGUUUCUCAAUACUCAAAGUAAAAUAAUUUAUUAAUCAACUUAC